rnacentral:rRNA from 1 species
CCUACGGGUGGCAGCAGUCGAGAAUCAUUCACAAUGGGGGAAACCCUGAUGCUGCGACGCCGCGUGGGUGAAUGAAGGUCUUCGUAUUGUAAACCCCUGUCAUGGGGGAGCAAAUAAAAAAGAUAGUACCACAAGAGGAAGAGUCGGCUCACUCUGUGCCAGCAGCCACGGUAAUACAGAGGUCUCAAGCGUUGUUCGGAAUCACUGGGCGUAAAGCGUGCGUAGGCUGUUUCGUAAGACGUGUGUGAAAGGCGCGGGCUCAACCGGCGAACGGCAAAUGAUACUGCGAGACUAGAGUAAUGGAGGGGCAACCGGAAUUCGUGGUGUAGCAGUGAAAUGCGUAGAUA